AUAAACAAAACAAAAGCAUGCGUCGUUGUGUUCAACAACAUCGAUCGCACGAAGAAAUCUAAAGUUUACCCUAUUAAACUUACGAAACUCUAAAAUAAUGAGUGAAUCUUACAGGUAAGUGUCAUUAUUCUUUCAAAUACCCUGUAUGCAUGCUACUAAACUAAGUCCUCAUGCCCAAAUUAUCGUGAUUCAAAAUAAACAACCUCUGAAUUGUUAGUUAUUUAUACAUACAAUAGCUCUGUUUUACGGAUCUUGUGUUUAUAAUAGACCUAUUGUUAUAAAAAUCUAACUCAAUUAAAUAUCUCCCAUACAGUUUUUAAUUGAUACUGACAAGACUAACCAACAUAUUUUAACUUACUGUCAACCCCUCACCUUUUAAAUAAGUACCUAUCCUAAUCAUUUGGUCUCCAACUCCUAUAUUUACAUAAUUUUAUUUGAAUUAUACCUAUAUCAUUAUUUGUUUUAUUUCAGGACCAAACAUAACAAUGCAAACCCAACUACACUCUUUGUUGAACUAAAACCCAUGAUAAACCACUGAUCAAACCAUCCACUGUGACAAAACAUUCACAAUCCCUCACUACUUAUAUACCAAAGUUACUAUUCUACAAUAAGAUAUGACAUACUUUGUGAAUGCUGAUGAUGAUGAUGUUCUAUAUUUGACAACCAAACUCUGAGACUAUAUACUAUGAAGUAAACAUCCUGACUCAGGUGAAGAAGUGUAUUGCAACCGCGCUCAAAAUAGGAACAACUAAACUACCCGCAUAAUUCUUAACUUACAAAGAAUAUAUUGACACUAAAUGAGGUCCUAGCCUACUUUAUAUGGUCUAACACUUUAUCAACAACAGUUUACUUGAUCUACAUUAAUUGUUUUCUAAAUUUAUUGUUAUGUCUGACCGCUACCCUUUCAUCACAAAAUAUUUUUUUAUUAUUUUUUCUUUCAAAUGAGAUUAUUGUUAAAUUUUCUUUUCUUUAUUGACUGUAACUCAUACUUGUAUUUGUUUAAGGAAAUGUCCGAUAACAUCUGCUACUGAUUGGCUCUCUGGAAUUUGAUAAUUAGACAUUUGGGCUUUUCCGGUUACUCUAAAUUAGGAUGAUAGCAUAGAUAGUGUUACAGUUCUAUCCCAACUCCUAUGAUCAAUGUUGUAUAAUAUAUUAUCUACUCUUUCAAACAUUCGAGUAUAGUAAUUUUAGAGCCUAGUUUUUAAGCACAUAGUCGAUGACAAGCAAAGAUCCGAUCCAGAAGCACAAUCAACCACAUCAACAAACCAAAAAACCCGCACAACAAAACUCAUACAAUCAAUACCAAACCGAACCAACCCAGCCAAAAGGAUAAUUAAUAAUUAUAGACUAGUUGCUAUAAGUACCGAUUCCCCCGCAACCAGGCCAGUCCAGCCCGGAACCAACUAUACAAGCUCCGCCACGCAAACUCCUCGAUCCACCGAUGCAGCCGACCGCACCUCCAGACCAAAAUCCCCACCCCUCAUCUACCUGGGCCAGAAUUUCUUUAUCUAUUCUAAUCAUUUCAGGUUGUUCAUAAGGACUAAAAUGCGCCGCGUUUUCGUUACAUUUGUUUUUUUUUUUUUAAUAUAAUUUUUGAUUUUAAUAAAUGUUUUACUGCUUUUACCUAAAAUAAAACCAUAUCAUUAUUUUACCUACAACCCCUAUUCACUUAAAAUUCCCUAAUCAGCUACA